CCAGAGAACUACGAGCACAAACGCUUAAAACUCUAAGGACUUGGCGGUGCCCUAAACCCACCUAGAGGAGCCUGUUCUGUAAUCGAUGAUCCACGAUCAACCCUACCGUCCCUUGCCAAGCACAGCCUACAUACCGCCGUCGCCAGCCCACCUCGAAUGAGAGCACAACAGUGGGCGCAACAGCACCCCGCUAAUAAGACAGGUCAAGGUAUAGCCUAUGGGGCGGAAGAAAUGGGCUACAUUCCCUAUUCAUAGGGCAGCACGGAAAGAAGUAUGAAACUACUUCUGGAAGGAGGAUUUAGCAGUAAAGCGGGAUAAUAAAGCCCGCUUUAAGCCGGCCCUAGGGCACGUACACACCGCCCGUCACC
rnacentral:rRNA from 1 species